CAUUUUCUACGGAGCCACAGCUGUGGCGGCGCUCUUUAAGACCAUAUUUGGAUGUAUGCUCAUCCACGGAACAUUUAGGAAAAAGCCAAGCUUCACGUGGCCUUGGUUAAUUGUUUCGUGGGCGUUCUGCGUGGUCCUGACCGUCCUGU
rnacentral:misc_RNA from 1 species